GAUGAACGCUGGCGGCGUGCCUAAUACAUGCAAGUCGAGCGAACAGACGAGGAGCUUGCUCCUCUGACGUUAGCGGCGGACGGGUGAGUAACACGUGGAUAACCUACCUAUAAGACUGGGAUAACUUCGGGAAACCGGAGCUAAUACCGGAUAAUAUAUUGAACCGCAUGGUUCAAUAGUGAAAGACGGUUUUGCUGUCACUUAUAGAUGGAUCCGCGCCGCAUUAGCUAGUUGGUAAGGUAACGGCUUACCAAGGCAACGAUGCGUAGCCGACCUGAGAGGGUGAUCGGCCACACUGGAACUGAGACACGGUCCAGACUCCUACGGGAGGCAGCAGUAGGGAAUCUUCCGCAAUGGGCGAAAGCCUGACGGAGCAACGCCGCGUGAGUGAUGAAGGUCUUCGGAUCGUAAAACUCUGUUAUUAGGGAAGAACAAAUGUGUAAGUAACGAUGCACGUCUGGACGGUACCUAAUCAGAAAGCCACGGCGAACUACGU
rnacentral:rRNA from 1 species